GACGUAGGGGGCCAGCGUUGUUCGGAAUUACUGGGUGUAAAGGGUUCGUAGGCGGUGUGGCAAGUCGGGGAGUGAAAUCUCUGGGCUCAACUCAGGAGACUGCUUCCGAAACUGCUGUGCUGGAGUGUGGGAGAGGCGCGUGGAAUUGCAGGUGUAGCGGUGAAAUGCGUAGAUAUCUGCAGGAACACCCGUGGCGAAAGCGGCGCGCUGGACCACUACUGACGCUGAGGAACGAAAGCUAGGGGAGCGAACAGG
rnacentral:rRNA from 1 species